rnacentral:rRNA from 1 species
UCGGGAAUUUUGGGCAAUGGGCGAAAGCCUGACCCAGCAACGCCGCGUGAAGGAUGAAGUAUUUCGGUAUGUAAACUUCGAAAGAAUAGGAAGAAUAAAUGACGGUACUAUUUAUAAGGUCCGGCUAACUACGUGCCAGCAGCCGCGGUAAUACGUAGGGACCAAGCGUUGUUCGGAUUUACUGGGCGUAAAGGGCGCGUAGGCGGUGUGUCAAGUCAGUUGUGAAAUCUCCGAGCUUAACUCGGAACGGUCAACUGAUACUGGCACACUAGAGUACAGAAGGGGCAAUCGGAAUUCUUGGUGUAGCGGUGAAAUGCGUAGAUAUCAAGAGGAACACCUGAGGCGAAGGCGGGUUGCUGGGCUGAUACUGACGCUGAGGCGCGAAAGCUAGGGUAGCAAACGGGAUUAGAUACCCCUGUAGUCCCUGAGCGGGCUGGCAAGGCGCAU